rnacentral:misc_RNA from 1 species
UUUCUGCAUAGUGCUUAUUCAUUUCCUUGGUAUAUGCUUUCCUUGGUAUAUGCUUUAUCUGUGAAACAUUUUCAUGUUUUAACUCUUGCAAUGAAACUGUCCUACAUGCCACAUCCCCUAUUAAUUUAAGUAAUUUAAUGCUGGGAAAUUUUUGGCGUGCCAACUUAGCAGUCCCAAGCGUAAAGAAAAAACCCACACUUUAUAAGCAACUGUGGGACAAGUGUGAGUUUCACUGUGUUGCGGUGUAGCUUUUGACUGAAAAAUGACAUGUAUCUUUUGGUUAG